rnacentral:sRNA from 1 species
UGGAUAGCCCUGGAGACUGAAGUUUCCCAUUUAUCCAGAGAACAGGGUCAGCACAGGCAGUAGUAAUCUUGCCAAAAUGCCACAACCCUGAUCUGGAAGGCCACUUAGAAAUGCGAGGAUGGUAUGGGCUCAUUCACCUAUAGAUCUUUCUGCUGAGGCUGCU